UACGGGGGGGGCAAGCGUUGUUCGGAAUUACUGGGCGUAAAGGGUUCGUAGGUGGCCAACUAAGUCAGACGUGAAAUCCCUCGGCUUAACCGGGGAACUGCGUCUGAUACUGGAUGGCUUGAGUUCGGGAGAGGGAUGCGGAAUUCCAGGUGUAGCGGUGAAAUGCGUAGAUAUCUGGAGGAACACCGGUGGCGAAGGCGGCAUCCUGGACCGACACUGACGCUGAUGAGCGAAAGCCAGGGGAGCAAACGGG
rnacentral:rRNA from 1 species